rnacentral:tRNA from 1 species
GAUCCUCUCGGCCAGGGUCCGCGAUCCUCUCGGGGAGGGUCGGCAAUCCUCUCGGCGAGUGUCCGCGAUCCUCUCGGGGAGGGUCG